AAUGACUCUCGACAACGGAUAUCUCGGCUCUCGCAUCGAUGAAGAACGUAGCGAAAUGCGAUACUUGGUGUGAAUUGCAGAAUCCCGUGAACCAUCGAGUCUUUGAACGCAAGUUGCGCCCGAAGCCACUAGGCCGAGGGCACGCCUGCCUGGGUGUCACGUA
rnacentral:rRNA from 1 species